rnacentral:rRNA from 1 species
UACGAAGGGGGCUAGCGUUGCUCGGAAUUACUGGGCGUAAAGCGCACGUAGGCGGCUUUCUAAGUCGGGGGGUGAAAUCCUGGAGCUCAACUCCAGAACUGCCUUUGAUACUGAGGGUCUUGAGUUCGGGAGAGGUGAGUGGAACUGCGAGUGUAGAGGUGAAAAUUCGUAGAUAUUCGCAAGAACACCAGUGGCGAAGGCGGCUCACUGGCCCGAUACUGACGCUGAGGUGCGAAAGCGUGGGGAGCAAACAGG